UUGAAUGAACUUAGAGUCGGUUGUCGCUGGCUGUCUUUUGCAGCAUGUGCACGCCUUCUCUUUUCAUCCACACACACCCCUGUGCACUUGUGAGACUGGAGGCCGUAAAAAAAGCCUUCAGUCAGCUAAAUUCAUAUACAAACUCAUUUAAUUGAACUGAAUGUACUUGAUGUAACGCAUCAUUGAAC
rnacentral:misc_RNA from 1 species